UACGUAGGGUGCAAGCGUUAAUCGGAAUUACUGGGCGUAAAGCGCGCGUAGGCGGCUUUGCAAGUCGGGUGUGAAAUCCCCAGGCUUAACCUGGGAACUGCAAUUCGAGACUGCAUUGCUAGAGUAUGGGAGAGGGAAGUGGAAUUUCCGGUGUAGCGGUGAAAUGCGUAGAUAUCGGAAGGAACAUCAGUGGCGAAAGCGACUUCCUGGACCAAUACUGACGCUCAUGUGCGAAAGCGUGGGGAGCAAACAGG
rnacentral:rRNA from 1 species